CCUACGGGGGGCUGCAGUAAGGAAUAUUGGUCAAUGGACGAAAGUCUGAACCAGCCAUGCCGCGUGGAGGAUGAAGGUCCUCUGGAUUGUAAACUUCUUUUAUAUGGGACGAAAAAAGGCUUUUCUAAGUCGUCUGACGGUACCAUAUGAAUAAGCACCGGCUAACUCCGUGCCAGCAGCCGCGGUAAUACGGAGGGUGCAAGCGUUAUCCGGAUUCAAUGGGGUGAAGGGGUGCGGAGAAGUGUGUGGAGAAAUCCCCGAGCUUAACUUGGGAACUGCCAUUGAUACUAUCAGUCUUGAAUACCGUGGAGGUCAGCGGAAUAUGUCAUGUAGCGGUGAAAUGCUUAGAUAUGUCAUAGAACACCAAUUGCGAAGGCAGCUGGCUACCCGAAUAUUGACACUGAGGCACGAAAGCGUGGGGAUCAAACAGGAUUAGAUACCCGUGUAGUC
rnacentral:rRNA from 1 species